rnacentral:rRNA from 1 species
UUAGGAUCCAAGCGUUAUCCGGAUUUACUGGGGGGCGUAAAGCGCGUGCAGGGUGGGUUUGGGUAAGUUGGAUGUUAAAUCUCCCGGCUCAACCGGGAGCUGUCAUUCAAAACUAUCAAACUAGAGGACGGUAGAGGAAGGUGGAAUUCCAGGUGUAGUGGUGAAAUGCGUAGAUAUCUGGAGGAACACCGGUGGCGAAGGCGGCCUUCUGGCCCGCUCCUGACACUAAGACGCGAAAGCUAGGGUAGCGAACGGGAUUAGACACCCCGGUAGUCCUAGCCGUAAACGAUGUGAACUUGGUGUUGGUUGGGUAAAACCAAUCAGUGCCGAAGCUAACGCGAUAAGUUCACCGCCUGGGGACUACGGCCGCAAGGUUA